rnacentral:lncRNA from 1 species
GAAUCCUUUACUCAGUUCCAAACAUUUUUCAUUACCUGGUGCAUUUGUCAAAUCUAAGAAACAAAUCAAUGUUGGUCAUGCACAUUACUCUUUGAACUAAACUCCAGACUUGAUUCAGGCUUCACUAGGUUUUCCAUUAAGUCCCUUUUCUGUCUCAGGAUGCAAUCUAAGUUAGUUGCCGUGUUCUCCAUAUUUUUGUCUAGUUCGUAAUAGUUUCUCAGUCCUUUCCUAUUUUUCAUAAUCUUCACAGUUUUGUAGAAUGCUGCUCAGCUACUUCAAAUUCUUCAAUUUGGACUUGAAUAUUUUUUUUUCAUGAUUAUACAUCAGUUAUGAAUUUUUGGAAAGAAUAUCAAAGAGUGCCUUUCUUAUGACAUCAUGCCAGUGGGUAUGUGACAUCCUCAUGACACCAUACUGAAGGUGUUAACCAUCAUUUCUUGCUAAAGCGGUAGUUUUUCCUGUUUCUCUCCCUGGGGAAGUUACUAUUUUUUCAGAAUUUGGCACUUCAAGACAACGUAACAAACUAACCAAUGCCACAGAAGAGAGUUAUGCUGUUGUACCUCAGUUUCUUUAUUUGUAAACUUUACCUUCCAUAAAGAUAAUAGUAAUGUCUACUUCACAGGGUUGUUUGAAGACUGAAUGAGUCAAUAUUUGUAAAGCACUUAGAGGAGCAUAAAAUAAAAGCUUUGUACCUUGGGUAGGUGCAGAGGGUUAGUAAAUCGCUCAGGGUUUGUGGCAACUAAAUAUAGGAAGCAGCUUGUUUCAUAUUUACCCAGAAUCCUGUAAGCCCUUAUAAUUUAACUACUAUGUUUGUUGAGGAAAAAACAGAUGUUAAGUUUUCUCCCUAGACAGAGGAGAUAUAAGAAGAAAAAAAAAUACCUCUGCAUGCCUUUCUGACUUCACAACUUAAUAAAACCAGCACAUAUUGCAAGUACAAUUAGAAAACAAAAAAAAUUUCAAGUUUUCAAUAAUUACUUUCACAUUUGUAGACAGUUUCCCAUUAAAUCCCAGUAAAAUAGUAACCACACAAAUUCUCAACUACUCAUGAACUAGUCACAAAAUUAUGACCUUUAGAUUACUUCUCAUUUCCUUCUCCCUGAAACAAACUUUAAUCUCUUUUUACUUUUCUGGGUUUUUUUCCCCCAGGAUCACAGUGAUAAAUACUAGAGUGAUUUUUUAAAUAGUCAUUCAUUUUGUACAUCUUUUUCAAUAAAUGAGUCUUUUAUUCAAACUCUUUUUUAGUAGAUGAAAUGAUUGAAAGUGGAAUCACAAAAUCAAUGAUUCAUCUUAGCAAUAAAAAAUAAAAUCCCAUCUAUGUGCAUCUCAUAAUAGAGCACACAUAUGCCUUCCUUGAUGAAAGUCUGAAAUAUAUUUUUUUGUAACUCUCAAUUGAUUUUUAAAAGUUUUUAAGUGUGUAGCGCUGACUACAGCAGGAAACUGCUGAAGAGGUUACUUUGCCUUUCUACUUUCGUUGAGUCAGUGCAUUCUGGGUAUCCUUUCUGUCAAGAAAUUAAUCAGGGACAUGGGGAAAUUUACUGACAAGGACUCAACCACAAAUACUAUCUAUAGUGUUUAAGCACAACAUGUCAGCACAUGUAUUCCACUGUACACCAAAAUUAUUGUGAUAGCACUGUCUCCAAUUAGCACCAGUACCAAGGGCAUUCUGGACACCCAGAUGAUGGUGGUUUUAUGAACUUUAUUCUAGGAUCUGCCUUGAUGUCUAACAGACACAUUGCUACUCCAUAUGGUGUUGUAUGCAGUUAGACACAGUUGGGGUCAGCAACUGAUAUAGAAAAUUUUGAAUGUGAAAAGGAAAAUUGGGGAAUGAACUUAUUUUUUAAAAUGUCUUCAAAGAAGGAUUCACAACAGGUUGAGUUUCUGUUUGGGCAAUAUUGGAAAAAACUGUUCCCACUUUAUUUAACAAACAUUUAUAAGGCACUUAAUCCAUGCCGGUGCUUUACGAAUGUUGACUCAUUUUUCAUAACCACCUUGAGGGAGAAACAAAGAGGUUUAACAAAUUGCAGGUGAUAUGGGAAUUAUGUGCAGCUAGAGCUACUUGCCCGGUGGUUGACAGGGGGCACCUGCUAGUGUCUGUUGAGCUGGGCAGUUGGAAACCCUGUCCUGCAGACCUGUGCCUGUAGGGCAGAGGCCAUUAAGUUUCUCCUCUCCCUGCUCCCAUUGUAUUGUAUUUCAGGUUUCUGUGAUAAAGAUCUGAAUACAACUUGGAGAAACAAACUCACGCCCUGCCCUGCCCUGCCCUCUAAAACCCAGUGAUGAAAAAGUUCUCUAAAACUCCUGGAGAAAAAGCGAUCAGAGAGAGUCAGGUUGAAAGAAUUUUAACCUGGAAUGAUGGUGCAAUGUGAUGAUCAUUACUAUCCAAAGACACCAAUUGGUGUGAAUAUACUAUGUGUACAACCAGAGAUAAGAAAAAUUGUGCUCUAUACAUGUAAUAAGAAUUGUAAUGCAUUCUGCUGUCAUAUUUAAAUUAAAAAAUUACAUAAAGAAAACAAAGAAUUUGAAAUCGCUCAUCAGAAAACAGAGACGUGUUUCUAGA